rnacentral:tRNA from 1 species
GGUAGCUCAGUGGUAAAGCACUUGCUUAGUAUGAGUAAGGCUAUGGGUUCAAUUCCCAGUACCA